rnacentral:rRNA from 1 species
UUAAGCGUGUAGGCUGGUUUUCCAGGCAAAUCCGGAAAACUAAGGCUGAGGCGUGAUGACGAGGCACUACGGUGCUGAAGCAACAAAUGCCCUGCUUCCAGGAAAAGCCUCUAAGCAUCAGGUAACAUCAAAUCGUACCCCAAACCGACACAGGUGGUCAGGUAGAGAAUACCAAGGCGCUUGAGAGAACUCGGGUGAAGGAACUAGGCAAAAUGGUGCCGUAACUUCGGGAGAAGGCACGCUGAUAUGUAGGUGAAGUCCCUCGCGGAUGGAGCUGAAAUCAGUCGAAGAUACCAGCUGGCUGCAACUGUUUAUUAAAAACACAGCACUGUGCAAACACGAAAGUGGACGUAUACGGUGUGACGCCUGCCCGGUGCCGGAAGGUUAAUUGAUGGGGUCAGCGCAAGCGAAGCUCUUGAUCGAAGCCCCGGUAAACGGCGGCCGUAACUAUAACGGUCCUAAGGUAGCGAAAUUCCUUGUCGGGUAAGUUCCGACCUGCACGAAUGGCGUAAUGAUGGCCAGGCUGUCUCCACCCGAGACUCAGUGAAAUUGAACUCGCUGUGAAGAUGCAGUGUACCCGCGGCAAGACGGAAAGACCCCGUGAACCUUUACUAUAGCUUGACACUGAACAUUGAGCCUUGAUGUGUAGGAUAGGUGGGAGGCUUUGAAGUGUGGACGCCAGUCUGCAUGGAGCCGACCUUGAAAUACCACCCUUUAAUGUUUGAUGUUCUAACGUUGACCCGUAAUCCGGGUUGCGGACAGUGUCUGGUGGGUAGUUUGACUGGGGCGGUCUCCUCCUAAAGAGUAACGGAGGAGCACGAAGGUUGGCUAAUCCUGGUCGGACAUCAGGAGGUUAGUGCAAUGGCAUAAGCCAGCUUGACUGCGAGCGUGACGGCGCGAGCAGGUGCGAAAGCAGGUCAUAGUGAUCCGGUGGUUCUGAAUGGAAGGGCCAUCGCUCAACGGAUAAAAGGUACUCCGGGGAUAACAGGCUGAUACCGCCCAAGAGUUCAUAUCGACGGCGGUGUUUGGCACCUCGAUGUCGGCUCAUCACAUCCUGGGGCUGAAGUAGGUCCCAAGGGUAUGGCUGUUCGCCAUUUAAAGUGGUACGCGAGCUGGGUUUAGAACGUCGUGAGACAGUUCGGUCCCUAUCUGCCGUGGGCGCUGGAGAACUGAGGGGGGCUGCUCCUAGUACGAGAGGACCGGAGUGGACGCAUCACUGGUGUUCGGGUUGUCAUGCCAAUGGCACUGCCCGGUAGCUAAAUGCGGAAGAGAUAAGUGCUGAAAGCAUCUAAGCACGAAACUUGCCCCGAGAUGAGUUCUCCCUGACUCCUUGAGAGUCCUGAAGGAACGUUGAAGACGACGACGUUGAUAGGCCGGGUGUGUAAGCGCAGCGAUGCGUUGAGCUAACCGGUACUAAUGAACCGUGAGGCUUAACCUUACAACGCCGAAGGUGUUU